GAUGAACGCUAGCUACAGGCUUAACACAUGCAAGUCGAGGGGCAGCAUGAACUUAGCUUGCUAAGUUUGAUGGCGACCGGCGCACGGGUGAGUAACACGUAUCCAACCUGCCGAUGACUCGGGGAUAGCCUUUCGAAAGAAAGAUUAAUACCCGAUGGCAUAGUUCUUCCGCAUGGUAGAACUAUUAAAGGAUUUCGGUCAUCGAUGGGGAUGCGUUCCAUUAGGUUGUUGGCGGGGUAACGGCCCACCAAGCCUUCGAUGGAUAGGGGUUCUGAGAGGAAGGUCCCCCACAUUGGAACUGAGACACGGUCCAAACUCCUACGGGAGGCAGCAGUGAGGAAUAUUGGUCAAUGGACGAGAGUCUGAACCAGCCAAGUAGCGUGAAGGAUGACUGCCCUAUGGGGUUGUAAACUUCUUUUAUACGGGAAUAAAGUGAGGCACGCGUGCCUUUUUGUAUGUACCGUAUGAAUAAGGAUCGGCUAACUCCGUG
rnacentral:rRNA from 1 species